rnacentral:piRNA from 1 species
UUCAUGUGUGCCUGGCACUCGGC